AGCGGGUACUCACGACUAAUCCGAGGUCAGAUCAGUCAGUCAGGUCAGCCAACCAGCCAGCCAGCCAGCCAGCCAGCCAGCGCAGACAGUAUAGUAUGUGUGUGUGUGUAUGUGCAGUGGCAGCAAUUGUUGKAUCAAUGCASGCUGCGUGGAUGACUCGCCCAUUCAGAUAGCACACGUACAGWGGGNSASGGYUUGUGAGUUGUGGNAACACACACACACACACACACGCACACACACCAGCCCACCACUUCUUCCAUUGCUUCAAUCUCCACCGCCCAAUUUUGCCACACCAUGCCAAGCAACGCCACACGGUGGAGGAAACAGGAAGCGGUGGCAAUGGCAGUGGCGGUGGCGGUAACAACAACCACUGUAGCACAAUCAUCACCGCUGCACACACCUUCAAGAGAAGCCGCAUGCGCACGUGCACGCACACACCCACUGACGGAGAAUGCUACAUCACAGCACAGCACAGCACGGCAUAGCACAACACGGCACUCCCUCAAGCCACUGCUUUCAUUACGCACAGUGAUAGUUUGUAAGCCGACGCUCGGAUAGAC
rnacentral:rRNA from 1 species